AGAAUCAACGCUGGCGGCGUGCCUAACACAUGCAAGUCGAACGAGAAAGGGUAGCAAUACCUGAGUAAAGUGGCGCACGGGUGAGUAACACGUGACUAACCUACCCUGGAGUGGGGGAUAACUGAGGGAAACCUUAGCUAAUACCGCAUAAUACCUACGGGUCAAAGGAGCAAUUCGCUUCAGGAGGGGUCGCGGCCGAUUAGUUAGUUGGCGGGGUAAUGGCCCACCAAGACGAUGAUCGGUAUCCGGCCUGAGAGGGCGCACGGACACACUGGAACUGAAACACGGUCCAGACUCCUACGGGAGGCAGCAGUGGGGAAUUUGCGCAAUGGGGGAAACCCUGACGCAGCAACGCCGCGUGGAGGAUGAAGUCCUUCGGGACGUAAACUCCUUUCGAUCGGGACGAUUAUGACGGUACCGGAAGAAGAAGCCCGGCUAACUUCGCGCCAGCAGCCGC
rnacentral:rRNA from 1 species